rnacentral:lncRNA from 1 species
GUCGUUUGUGAUAUGCACCUCAUCUUUCCUAUGCUUUCAGAACUCUGGAGGCCAGGAAUCAGUUAUAAUUGUGCACUUGGGAGUUAGAGAAUCUUACAGCUCUUAAAGUAUCUACCUCUUCCCAUCUUGACUCAAACUUGUUACAAUUUCUCUUCUACAAAGCUUCCUCCUGUUCCACCUGGAAGAUGCUUGACAGAGUCUCGGGGAGCUCCUCAUAAAUACUCGGCUGGAGAAAAAUGAAAGAACAAAAGGUUCAUCUUGUCGGUCCUUCCACAGCCUUCAGUUCUACAGUGUAUUCUGUCCAGUGACAGAAUGGUCUUCUUUCCCCAUAGCACACAGAAAUGGAAUGGGAGACCAGCAGGAGGGGCCGGGAAGACAGGAAGAUCACAAAAACUAAAAGUAUAUAUAAAAAUGCCACGAGGGGUUCCAUAGGCUUCAUACGCUAAUUCUCAAAAUAACUCAUAGUAAGGGGAAAGCAACCCUGUUCCUCUGAAACUUUUUCUAGCAGCAGCUCGGAUGUAGUCUGUGAUCUGAUCCUCUGCCAAUACUCAAUCGGCUAAUAAAUGGACUCUAAGAGACUUCACAGUUGUGAAGUGACGGUUCCCUACAACUCUCCACGACAGUUCUGCCUGUGCCUGGACUGCUCACGUUGGGCACAUGGUCACAUGGUACAGCCACAGGAGCUACCGUGAAAUAAGAACAAUAGAAAAGAGGGUCUUCUAGCUCUCAGGUUUCAAGGGAACCUCGCAGAAUGGAAGGAAAAGGAGAAGAAAAAUCACCGGUGAUUUCAGAUGGGAGAGUGAUGAGUUUGACUCUUCCUUUUGCACUUCCUCGCCUCUCUGAACUGAAUUUCUUGGCCAGAGUAAACUCGCAGGGAAGUAUUAAAUGCAAGAUGCUGUUGGGAUGAGGGUUUCUACCCAGCACUCAGGGUAAAUCCAAAAUAGAGAAACAACAGGGAGAUAUAUUCAUUGGGAACGGAAAACAGAAAUGACCUAGGACCACUUCCCAUGGAGAAGCUAAAAGCAGCACGCUUCCGGGGAAGAAAUGGACAAGUGUGUAGCAUGCCAAGGCACUGGAGCAGCGUGUGAUUCUCAGAGCGCUUACAAGGCCCAGCCGGCACAGCCUGAGAAUGACAAAUUACUUCUGUGUGCCCCACAGGUAGAUACAGAUUAGAAUGUUUGGGGCAAAGAUGGAUGCCUCAGCAGAAGUGCUCAGUAUGGCCUAUGACACAGGGAAACUGUACCCCAAUAUCUAGUCAACAUACCUACUUGGAAGAUACUUAAUAUGAACCCAAACUAUUUUAUAAAUUAACUGCACCUAAUAAUAAUAGCAAUAAUAAUAAUAAGCAAAAACAAAAAAUCAGUCUUCCAUCACAUCCGGCAUAGUUUUCACAUGUCCUGUGUGAUGGUUUGUAUAUGCUUGGCCCAAAGAGUGGCACUAUUAAAAGGUGUGUCCCUGUUAGAGUUUGUGUGUCACUGUGGGUGUGGGCUUUAAGACCCUCAUCCUAGCUGCCUGGAAGCCAGUAUUCUGCUAACAGUCUUCAGAUGAAGAUGUAGACCUCUCAGCUCCUCUUGUACCAUGCUUCUCUGGAUGUUGCCAUGUUCCUGCCAUGAUGAUACUGGGCUGAACCUCUGAAUCUGUAAGCCAGCCCCAGUUAAAUGUUGUUCUUAUAAGAGUUGCCUUAGGUCACUGUGUCUGUUCAAAGCAGAAAAAAACCCUAAAUAAAGUAUCCUGGAAAACAUGCCAGUAAAAUAUAACAGUUUAUGAAUAUAUAAGGCCAGAAUCUAAUACCAUUUUAUAUAUAUAAACACAAAAGAUUUCCCCAUUUAACUACACUGUAUUAUUAUCCAGGUAUGGCACUACUAUGCCAGUUGUAGCCUCUUUUAUUAUUUAUUAUUAUUAUUGUUAUUAUUAUUUAUACAAGUACAUUGCAGUUGUCUUCAGACACAUACUAGAAGAGUACAUCAGAUCCCAUUACAGAUGGUUGUGAGCCACCAUGUGGUUGUUGGGAAUUGAAUGCAAGACCUUUCAGAAGAGCAGUCAGUGCUCUUAACCACUGAGCCAUCUCUCCAGCCCUGUAGCCUCUCUGUUAACAGCACUUUUAUCACCAAGCUCAUCUGUCUCUCUCUCUGCAAUUACACAAAUGUACACACUGAAUAAAGAAGCCCAUUCUGUAAAUGGAGCACCAGGCAUACUGGGAUUAGCAGCCAAAUGAAACAGAUGAAUGGAUUUUUGUUAAUAAGGAAGAGGUGUUAUAAUAUUAUUGUUAGUUGAUGCGAUUUUCAACAAAAUGUUAAUAAUUUUUCAACGACUACACACUGAAGCCGUUCACUUCAUUUUGAAUAGCCUGCUCUUCCCUCUACAACUGUCCAUGAAGGUCUAUUUCUCCAUGUCUUCUUGUAUCAUCUUUUUUUUUCCAAUCCUUUCUGUACUGUUAUUGUCUAGUAAUAAGUUAUUUUUCUUUCCAGAAACUGAUUGUGUCCUGAUGUGUUAAGAUUCCAACCUAUGAGACUUGUUUGAAUCUUAAGGCACUUUGUCACCCUGUCCCAUGUCAAUAUUGCUUUGAUGUUCCAUUUAAGCAGAGUAUCAUUUGUUCCAUUUCAAGAGUCCUUAACUGGUCUUAGCAUACGUGGCUGUUUCUCCUGCUGCACACACAUUAGUCUGACAUUGGUAUCCUGCUGUAUGUUCUGGUGCUGACUGCAUUGCCUACUUUGUUCUUUCAUUCUCUGGUCCUUCUGGCACACUACAGUUCCUUACAUUCAUGAUUCAAAAUGUAUCAAUAGAUAAAAGCUUGUGACAACUGCAUUAUGGAAUUUCAUUACAAAUCAUGAUCGUUUUCCCUGUAUGUUACAAAUAAGUCAUAUUAAUCUUGACAUCACUAUACAGACAAAAAAAAGAUAACUAUGAAUUUUAUUUCAUGACAGUAAAUAGGAUAAAAUAUAUCAAAUAAGAAGAAAAAGCUAGACUAGCUACCUCAGAGAUGUCAUCUCACCAUCCAAAGUCCUCCAUUCCUUAAAUACCACAGGACAGUGUUGCCUUGGGACUCUGCGUUGCCCUUCCCUGCACCUGGAACAACCCUCUUCUACUCAUAAACCAUAUGUCCUUCAGACAGGCCCAAGUGACUCAGUCUCUGGCUUCCUGCUAGCAAGAAUGCAGAUGGGAUAGAUUAUCUGUGGUAGCCAUACUGGACCUCAAGAUGACCGUGGGAACGGGGAUCACGGGAGGCGGGGCUAUGAGCUGACAGGAAUCUAGACCUUGGCCUGCCAGAUGCCGUAUCUCUCCUGCAUUACCUUUAUAAGACUUUUUUUUUUUUUGAACGAGGAAGAAAUAAACUUUGAUGUAGUCUGAGCCACUGUU